ANCUUUGCGNAGUGGCAGUAUCGUAGCCAAUGAGGUUUAUCCGAGGCACGAUUAUUGCUAAAGGUUGGCGUCUUUUCCUCAUUCUUCUAAUUUGGAAGUAUGUUUCUNGUUUUAAGUAGCAUCAUCAUA
rnacentral:snRNA from 1 species